GCAUUUGUCGUUUAAUGGUAGGACCUCUGCCUUCCAAGCAGAUGAUGUGGGUUCGAUUCCCGCCAGAUGUUCCA
rnacentral:tRNA from 1 species